rnacentral:rRNA from 1 species
AGUGAACGCUGGCGGUAGGCCUAACACAUGCAAGUCGAACGGCAGCACAGUAAGCGCUUGCCCUUACGGGUGGCGAGUGGCGGACGGGUGAGGAAUACAUCGGAAUCUACUUUUUCGUGGGGGAUAACGUAGGGAAACUUACGCUAAUACCGCAUACGACCUACGGGUGAAAGCAGUGGAUCUUCGCACCUUGCGCGAUUGAAUGAGCCGAUGUCGGAUUAGCUAGUUGGCGGGGUAAAGGCCCACCAAGGCGACGAUCCGUAGCUGGUCUGAGAGGAUGAUCAGCCACACUGGAACUGAGACACGGUCCAGACUCCUACGGGAGGCAGCAGUGGGGAAUAUUGGACAAUGGGCGCAAGCCUGAUCCAGCCAUACCGCGUGAGUGAAGAAGGCCUUCGGGUUGUAAAGCCCUUUUGUUGGGAAAGAAAAGCAGCAGGUGAAUACCCCGCUGUUCUGACGGUACCCAAAGAAUAAGCACCGGCUAACUUCGUG